CGUCGAUGGACCCUGGGGCCACACCCUUCGUCUGGCAGCCAGUCUUCUUAAAGGUCUGCCACCCUCCUGGUGUGACACCAGCUGAGACUCGUCACCUAAAGGGACCUGACCGCACCUACUCUGGGCCCCAGCUGAUCCCCGCCAGGCGCUCGGAGCUGCUCCGCCCUGUUCUCUGGGACCUGCAUGCGUCCGGCCUCCUUGGAGCCGCCUCCACACUCUGUUUCAUGUCAUGAUCUCACGGUUCUUGAGUUCGAGCCCCGCGUCAGGCUCUGUGCCGACAGCUCAGGAGAGAGGAGACCAGGCGUGUGAGCAAAGCAUCUGAGACCCUGCAGAGAAGCCCAGCCACCAGCUUGAAGCACUUCCAGCACCGAGUCCCAGGCUCUGAAGCGAGGACUGGGGUCCUUGUCCGACGACCUGCCCUUCCCGGAAGACCCUCCCGUCCACCUGAGUGUGUGGUGAGAUGCAGAAGGCACAGAAGGGGCUGGAGCUGCUUCCAUUUCUCUGGAAGCUUCACACACACACCCCCACCCCCUCCUGGCUCCUGGCUCCAUUCCUGUACACUCCACCAGGGCAGCCUCGCAUACAUUCAAUCCUGGAUACUUAGUUUGUGGCUGGCCCGUCACAAACCUCCCCUGCCCCAUCUCACACGCACGUGUGCACACACACACACAGACACACACACGGCAACAUCUCAAAACCCCACUGCAUUUAAACCAGGAAAACAGUGGGUGGGAACUUAAGGAAACGACUAAGGAAGGAUUUCAGGAGUUUCCGCUGAUGGGUCGCAUCUGGAAAGCAGCUGAGGCGCAGACCUGACAGUUCACCAAAGUGACUGUGAGAGCGAGCCCCGAGGGAGGGCCCGGCGGGCGGGGGCCGCGGGUGUGAGCUCGAGCUCCUGGUGUGCCCCUUACCUCCUAGCUCUUCACCAGGUGCACCCAAACCUGUGGGAGCCUGAGGUCUUGAACGUCUAUGCCAAAAAAGGCUCUAAAAUAACCCAUUUAAAAAUGAAGCCCCC